GACGAACGCUGGCGGCGUGCUUAACACAUGCAAGUCGAACGGAAAGGCCCUGCUUUUGUGGGGUGCUCGAGUGGCGAACGGGUGAGUAACACGUGAGUAACCUGCCCUUGACUUUGGGAUAACUUCAGGAAACUGGGGCUAAUACCGGAUAGGAGCUCCUGCUGCAUGGUGGGGGUUGGAAAGUUUCGGCGGUUGGGGAUGGACUCGCGGCUUAUCAGCUUGUUGGUGGGGUAGUGGCUUACCAAGGCUUUGACGGGUAGCCGGCCUGAGAGGGUGACCGGCCACAUUGGGACUGAGAUACGGCCCAGAAUCCAACGGGAGGCAGCAGUGGGGAAUAGUGCACAAUGGGCGGAAGCCUGAUGCAGCAACGCCGCGUGCGGGAUGACGGCCUUCGGGCUGUAAACCGCUUUCGCCUGUGACGAAGCGUGAGUGACGGUAAUGGGUAAAGAAGCACCGGCUAACUACGUG
rnacentral:rRNA from 1 species